UUACCUGGUCCGGACAUCAAAAGGAUAGACAGACUGCCAGAUCUUUCUUGAUAUGGUGAUUGGUGGUGCAUGGCCGUUCUUAGUUCGUGGAGUGAUCUGUCAGGCCAAUUCCGGUAACGAACGAGACCACAUUCUCCAGUUGACGAGCCGGAGAAGGCAUUGGUAGUGUGUAUUUUUGUUUACAAGAGUCCAUGUUAUCGAUGUUGUAGGCAUCGUAGAGUUGCUUAUGGUGUGUUGAUGUAGGUGGCAACACUGAGUUGGCACACUUUCGGUAGUCUUUGCGCUCCCUCCGGCUUAGCAGUACAAAACUUGCAAAAGUUGUGUACUGUAUCAUGGAGAGACAACGGAAUAUAUUUUCAAAAUCCGAGGAAGUGUGGCUAUAACAGGUCUGUGAUGCCCUUAGAUGUUCAGGGCUGCACGCGCGCUACAAU
rnacentral:rRNA from 1 species